rnacentral:tRNA from 1 species
AGCAGGGUGGCGCAGAGGAAGCGUGCUUGGCCCAUAACCCAGAGGUCAAUGGAUCGAAACCAUCUCCUGCUA